rnacentral:tRNA from 1 species
GGGUCGGUCGCAUAGUGGCCGAGUGCAACGGGCUGUUAACCCGUCGAGUUAAUACUCCAUCGCUGGUUCGAAUCCAGCCCGGUCCGCCA